CACUCCUGCGGGAGGCAGCAGUGGGGAAUAUUGCACAAUGGGCGCAAGCCUGAUGCAGCCAUGCCGCGUGUAUGAAGAAGGCCUUCGGGUUGUAAAGUACUUUCAGCGGGGAGGAAGGCGAUAAGGUUAAUAACCUUGUUGAUUGACGUUACCCGCAGAAGAAGCACCGGCUAACUCCGUGCCAGCAGCCGCGGUAAUACGGAGGGUGCAAGCGUUAAUCGGAAUUACUGGGCGUAAAGCGCACGCAGGCGGUCUGUCAAGUCGGAUGUGAAAUCCCCGGGCUCAACCUGGGAACUGCAUUCGAAACUGGCAGGCUAGAGUCUUGUAGAGGGGGGUAGAAGUCCAGGUGUAGCGGUGAAAUGCGUAGAGAUCUGGAGGAAUACCGGUGGCGAAGGCGGCCCCCGGGACAAAGACUGACGCUCAGGUGCGAAAGCGUGGGGAGCAAACAGGAUUAGAUACCCGAGUUGCCA
rnacentral:rRNA from 1 species